rnacentral:rRNA from 1 species
AAACAGGAUUAGAUACCCUGGUAGUCCACGCCGUAAACGAUGUCGACUUGGAGGUUGUGCCCUUGAGGCGUGGCUUCCGGAGCUAACGCGUUAAGUCGACCGCCUGGGGAGUACGGCCGCAAGGUUAAAACUCAAAUGAAUUGACGGGGGCCCGCACAAGCGGUGGAGCAUGUGGUUUAAUUCGAUGCAACGCGAAGAACCUUACCUGGUCUUGACAUCCACGGAAGUUUUCAGAGAUGAGAAUGUGCCUUCGGGAGCCGUGAGACAGGUGCUGCAUGGCUGUCGUCAGCUCGUGUUGUGAAAUGUUGGGUUAAGUCCCGCAACGAGCGCAACCCUUAUCCUUUGUUGCCAGCGGUCCGGCCGGGAACUCAAAGGAGACUGCCAGUGAUAAACUGGAGGAAGGUGGGGAUGACGUCAAGUCAUCAUGGCCCUUACGACCAGGGCUACACACGUGCUACAAUGGCGCAUACAAAGAGAAGCGACCUCGCGAGAGCAAGCGGACCUCAUAAAGUGCGUCGUAGUCCGGAUUGGAGUCUGCAACUCGACUCCAUGAAGUCGGAAUCGCUAGUAAUCGUGGAUCAGAAUGCCACGGUGAAUACGUUCCCGGGCCUUGUACACACCGCCCGUCACACCAUGGGAGUGGGUUGCAAAAGAAGUAGGUAGCUUAACCUUCGGGAGGGCGCUUACCACUUUGUGAUUCAUGACUGGGGUGAAGUCGUAACAAGGUAACCGUAGGGGAACCUGCGGUUG